rnacentral:rRNA from 1 species
GACGAACGCUGGCGGCGUGCUUAACACAUGCAAGUCGAACGGAAAGGCCCUGCUUUUGUGGGGUGCUCGAGUGGCGAACGGGUGAGUAACACGUGAGUAACCUGCCCUUGACUUUGGGAUAACUUCAGGAAACUGGGGCUAAUACCGGAUAGGAGCUCCUGCUGCAUUGUGGGGGUUGGAAAGUUUCGGCGGUUGGGGAUGGACUCGCGGCUUAUCAGCUUGUUGGUGGGGUAGUGGCUUACCAAGGCUUUGACGGGUAGCCGGCCUGAGAGGGUGACCGGCCACAUUGGGACUGAGAUACGGCCCAGACUCCUACGGGAGGCAGCAGUGGGGAAUAUUGCACAAUGGGCGGAAGCCUGAUGCAGCAACGCCGCGUGCGGGAUGACGGCCUUCGGGUUGUAAACCGCUUUCGCCUGUGACGAAGCGUGAGUGACGGUAAUGGGUAAAGAAGCACCGGCUAACUACGUG